CGGAGAGCGCGCGCGGGAGCUGGUGAGGGUAAAAGCGGAAAGCGACCCUCAGCAGGGCUGUACCCAGGCACAGCCCGUGUGCAGGGGCCCUUGCAGCCACCAGCUUUGCCAGCCGGACUGCCUGCCCUGCGCGUUCCCGGCCCACCUCCGCCCGCCCUAGGCCCUGUCUGGGCGCAGCCAGCUGAGGGAGAUUCCUACAGCAGCGUCAUCCGCGGCGCAGGGUCCCGGGCUAGGCAGGAAGGUGACUGCCGCCUGUAAUCCUGGGGAGCCAGGAGGACCCCUGGAGCGCAAGAACGCAACAGCCGCCAAGAGGUGCCCGGCCCCUGCUACCGAGACGACACAGAGGAGGCACUGAGGCGCCAAUGCCCGAGCUGGCGCAGAGAGCCCGGCUCCCUCCUCGGACAGCGGGCGGCUCGUCGCCUCCCAGGGGACCCGGCGCGCGGGGCCCUUCUCGCGUCCCAGCGCGGUGUGAAAUGGGCGGCGCGCGGGGCUCUGGGCGAGGACCUGCUACUGAGGACCGUCCUCCCUACCCCUCCCAGCCCUGCGGGCCCUGGCACCUCAGGGCGUCGGCCCGCUGGCCUCGCUUCCACUCGUCCCGGGGGCGCGCGCGGCUCCUAGUCCCACGCUCUCCUGCACCGCCGGGCCUCCGUGCCGACCUGCUUCCUGUUCAACAAUAUACGAGGGAGGCACCGGCGGAGCGCCCGGCGAACUUCCUCCCUGGCUGGGGCUGGGCUGCUGUUGCAAAAGACAAUCCCCGGUAUCCUGGCUUCCUGUCCCCUCUGGGCCGGCUCGAGCUCCAGGAGCAGAGACGCCACCCCUUCCCCCAUGCACCUCCUGGGAUGGAUCCUGGGCCACUGCUGGCUGUUCCUAGGGUUGAGGACGCCCGUGGCGUCCCACCAGCUUCAGCCCGAUUUCCCUCUUGUCGAGAUCCUCCCUUGUAGUGUAGAGAGGGGAGUCCUUCCAACCUGCCCAGCAGCCUCCUGGAGGCCAGGAUCUGAGUGGAGUCCGGGGCCCUCCCCUUGGGGUCUUUCUGGUAAUAGCCUCUGGGGAAAGUAGCCUUGCCCUCUGGCUUGACUCAGCUGUCACUCCAGACAUGGGCAAAGCAGCCCCUCUGGACCUGUUCUCAGGGCCCACAAGGAACACUGGUGCAUUUGUGUAGGUGUUUGUGCUGAGUUUGUCUAAGUGCUGAUGCUGGAGAGGAGGGAAGCCCCCAUCCCAAGCGUCGGACUCCAGACAGCCUGAACAGCACGAAGUUUGGCUGGAACUGCACCUACAGUCCAGGGGGCGCUCUACUACUGAGCCAUGGCACAACCCUUUUUCCAGACAGGGUCUCCCUCAAUUGUCCAGGCUGGGCUGGAAUUCUUGAUCCUUCCUGCCUCAGCCACCUGAGUAGGUGUGUGCCAUGGUGCCUCACAUUCUCUUGUUUUGAGACAGGGCCUCGCUACUUAGUUAAGGCUGAACUUGAAGCCACUUUGUAGCCCAGGAUUGGAUCAGACUCACAAUGACCCUCUUGCCUCAGGCUCCCAAGUGCUAGGAUGACAGGUGUGCACCACCAUGCGCAGCUCAUACUCUUUGUUGGACUCCCUUUUCUCCACAUCUCUGACUGUGGCGUUGCCCACCAGUGAGAACACACUGGGCUGGGUGUCUCAGUGUGCCCAGGCCUGGUGGCAUCUUAGGAUCUGCCAGAACAGACAUGCAGUAGAGCUAAGCAUGGUGCCCUGCACGCUGAGAGGACAGUGGCUGGAUGAACCCUCCUCACCUGCCCCCAUCACCCACUGGGCCAGGCACAUGGCAGAGGCUGGUGUGUUGUGGUCCUCGUCUGGGGUCUGGCAGUCUGAAGCACAGCACUGCCACACACUGACCUUUAGAUGUCUGGAACCACCUUUCUUUUCUACAAGCUGCAACAGUAAUGCCUUCCUUAUAGGUUUGCGCAGAGGACUGAAUGAGACGUCAUAAAGGCAGUGUCAGCUGGACUUGAAUUGUGAUCCUCCUGCCUCAGCUUCUGGAUGCAGAAUUCCAGGGACAGUGAGGGGCUCCCCCUGCACGAGCCCCUCAGCUUCUCCGGAAUCUUCUGAGGAAGACAGCAGCCAAAGGCCCUAAAUCCACAAGCUCGGGGCCUGGGGCCCCGCUAAACUCAUCCUCCCACCUCUUUGUGUUCCCUUUCUCCUGUGUUCCUGAGGCUGCAGUGUCCUGACAUUUAGGGCUCAGGAAAUAAAGCCACGGGCAGCCAGCUUCAGC